UGUGCUGGCACCAGUGGGGCAUAAGAAAUACACAACACAGUGAGAUGGGGGUGACCAAAACUGAACCCAGAAUUCAAAAGUGAGCACACACUAUUCAAGGUUUUGUCAUUUCAUGGCUCCUUCCCAUUUCAUCCUUCAGAUUACUGAAGUGUACUUGCCUGGGAGUUUUUUUGGGCAUUGCCACCUUGAUUUUGCUCCCUCCAGCCAAGAGUCUUUCCUGUGUUCUUGCAGAUCUUGAAGGAAGGUUUGCAUUGCUCCACGUGGUAAAGCUGAAGAGAGGGAAUUGUACAUGAGAAAACUCAUCAGAAUGCCCACUGCCAUCUCUCAUUAAUUCACUGCAUCUGAUCCUUCUCUUAGGCCUCCUUUCUUUGGGAGAAGAACUGCACAUCUCACAACCCAAGUGUGGUUAUUCCUCUCAGAAGGGAAAUGCUUGCAUUGUGCUCAUGUUGGCAGCAGGAAAGAGGUGUUCUCAGGCUGGUAAUCUGUUUUACUUUAACUCUUGCAAAUUGGAUUCAUUUACAUGAGUUCUCCAUACCAGGACUUUCACCAGCUCAUUAAAAAAAAAAAAUAAUAAAAAAUUAACAUCCCACUCUUUUGAUGGCUUCCUUGCAUGAGUAUUUCUUAUCAGGGUGACAUUAUGUUUGUCCAGAGUAGGUAAUUAUUGGGCACUGUCAGCACAGACAGAGGUAAAUAGAGGUGUAAUGAAAUUGGAGGGCAGGAAGGCUAUUUCUAUACUCCCCACUCUGGAGAGUGGUCAGUAAAUAAAUCAGUGCUGUGAUCAGCAGUCCAUCCACUGACCCUCCCACACUGCCAGGAAAAUAGAAAUAAAAAUUUCUCAUCUUUAGUCUCAUUUCCUUGAUCUCUCAGGGGUUAUGUGCAGCGUGGCUGUGUUACAGGACCUUCAGUGGGAAUAUAUUUGAUAAAUUAUUCUCAUAUUUAAUUGAAUUUUUUGUGAAAGUACAGUUCUGGGAAGCUGCUUAUUGUUUUGUGCUGUUCUUCAGUUGUUACUUUGUACAGUGACUGUUGGGUUGUGGCUUUUUCGUGUAACUUCUGUUCUAAAUUGGAUUUCUAACCAAUGGUUUCUAGGUAAUGAUCAUCUGAAAUGGUUUGGCUUCUUACAGAUUUUUUUUGUGGUGUGGGUAAUUCUUGCUCUUCAUUCUUUGUUCCCCCAGUGUCAGGGUUGGUAGAAAUUUUCUAUUACUAUGCCACAGUUUUGAUUUUUUUUUUUUAGCAA